rnacentral:rRNA from 1 species
UACGUAGGGGGCGAGCGUUGUCCGAAGUUACUGGGCGUAAAGCGCGCGUAGGCGGUCCCUUAAGUCUGGUGUGAAAGGUUCAGGGCUCAACCCGAAGAGGGCACUGGAGACUGGGGGACUUGAGUUUGGGAGAGGAGAGUGGAAUUCCUGGUGUAGCGGUGAAAUGCGUAGAUAUCUGGAGGAAUACCGGUGGCGAAGGCGGCAUCCUGGACCAUUACUGACGCUGAGGCGCGAAAGCUAGGGGAGCAAACGGG